rfam:Ictidomys tridecemlineatus contig108726, whole genome shotgun sequence.
UGGGGUGUAGCUCAGAUGCAGAGCACUUGCCUAGCAUGCGUGAGGCACUGGGUUCCAUCCUCGGCACCGCAU